UACAGAGGGGGCGAGCGUUGUUCGGAAUUACUGGGCGUAAAGGGCGCGUAGGCGGCCUGUUAAGUCGAACGUGAAAUCCCCGGGCUCAACCCGGGAACUGCGUCCGAGACUGGCAGGCUCGAAUCCGGGAGAGGGAUGUGGAAUUCCAGGUGUAGCGGUGAAAUGCGUAGAUAUCUGGAGGAACAUCGGUGGCGAAGGCGGCAUCCUGGACCGGUAUUGACGCUGAGGCGCGAAAGCCAGGGGAGCAAACGGG
rnacentral:rRNA from 1 species